UACAGAGGGUGCGAGCGUUAAUCAGAAUUACUGGGCGUAAAGCGUGCGUAGACGGUUAUUUAAGUCGGGUGUGAAAGCCCCGGGCUCAACCUGGGAAUUGCAUUCGAGACUGAAUAGCUAGGGUACGGUAGAGGGAAGCGGAAUUUCCGGUGUAGCGGUGAAAUGCGUAGAUAUCGGAAGGAACAUCAGUGGCGAAAGCGGCUUCCUGGACCAGUACCGACGUCAGGCACGAAAGCGUGGGGAGCAAACAGG
rnacentral:rRNA from 1 species